AGGGAAUCUUCGGCAAUGGGCGAAAAGCCUGACCGAGCGACGCCGCGUGGGGGACGAAGGUCUUCGGAUCGUAAACCCCUGUCCUUGGGGACGAAGGUGACGGUACCCAAGGAGGAAGCCCCGGCUAACUACGUGCCAGCAGCCGCGGUAAUACGUAGGGGGCGAGCGUUGUCCGGAAUCACUGGGCGUAAAGGGUGCGUAGGCGGCUAUUUAAGUCCUGUGUGAAAGGCCCCGGCUCAACCGGGCAGUGCGAUGGGAAACUGGGUGGCUUGAGUGCUGGAGAGGGUUGCGGAAUUCCCGGCGUAGCGGUGAAAUGCGUAGAUUUCGGGAGGAACACCAGUGGCGAAGGCGGCAACCUGGACAGUAACUGACGCUGAGGCACGACAGCUGGGGUAGCGAAC
rnacentral:rRNA from 1 species